UACUGAGGUCCCAAGCGUUGUUCGGAUUCAUUGGGCGUAAAGGGUGCGUAGGUGGCGCUGUAAGUCGGGUGUGAAAUUUCGGAGCUUAACUCCGAAACUGCAUUCGAUACUGCGGUGCUCGAGGACUGGAGAGGAGACUGGAAUUCAUGGUGUAGCAGUGAAAUGCGUAGAGAUCAUGAGGAAGACCAGUGGCGAAGGCGGGUCUCUGGACAGUUCCUGACACUGAGGCACGAAGGCCAGGGGAGCAAACGGG
rnacentral:rRNA from 1 species